rnacentral:rRNA from 1 species
GACAGAGGGUGCGAACGUUGCUCGGAAUUACUGGGCGUAAAGCGCGUGCAGGUGGCUCUCCACGUCCGGUGUGAAAGCCCGGGGCUCAACCCCGGAAGCGCGCUGGAUACGAGGGAGCUAGAGGGCUGGAGAGGCAGGCGGAAUUCCCGGUGUAGAGGUGAAAUUCGUAGAUAUCGGGAAGAACACCCGUGGCGAGGGCGGCACUCUGGGACGGUACUGACGCUGAGACGCGAAAGCGUGGGGAGCGAACAGG